rnacentral:tRNA from 1 species
AUUUAAAUAGCUUAAAUUUAAAGCAUAGUGUUGAAGUUACUAUUAUAGUCUCAGACUUUUAAAUA